GGACAUGUGCAGCUGCACAACAGGAUGUCAAGCACUGAUUGGGUUUAAAAAGUGAAUGUGUGUUAAGUUAAAAGAUCAUAAGUAUGGGAUGAAAAAAUAAAAUACUUCUUUGUACUUCUCUAUGUUGUGCAACAUUAAUACAUAUGGUUGUAACCACUAGAGCUCAUGGCCUACAUUUUUCUGCAGGUUGUUUGAAAAGCAAAACAGCAACAAGAAGAAAAAUAAGUAUUUGUGUUGCAACAAAUGAGCGAUUUCUAUAUCUAUAACAGCAUUUGAGCUGUUAUAACAGAUCUCCAGAGAGGCACAUGGUUUACAACUACAUAUGGGAAGAAGGAAAUUUCAGCCAUGCUAAAUAACCUGAUUUACUAGAAUGACUUCAUCAAAAAUGUUAAGUACCACUUCAUAUAUCCAC